UCUUUUAAAGUUUCAAAAGAAAGUUGC
rnacentral:sRNA from 1 species